rnacentral:rRNA from 1 species
AUUGAACGCUGGCGGCAUGCCUUACACAUGCAAGUCGAACGGCAGCACGGGAGCAAUCCUGGUGGCGAGUGGCGAACGGGUGAGUAAUAUAUCGGAACGUGCCCAGUCGUGGGGGAUAACGUAGCGAAAGCUACGCUAAUACCGCAUACGAUCUAUGGAUGAAAGCGGGGGAUCGCAAGACCUCGCGCGAUUGGAGCGGCCGAUAUCAGAUUAGGUAGUUGGUGAGGUAAAGGCUCACCAAGCCGACGAUCUGUAGCUGGGCUGAGAGGACGACCAGCAACACUGGGACUGAGACACGGCCCAGACUCCUACGGGAGGCAGCAGUGGGGAAUUUUGGACAAUGGGCGCAAGCCCGAUCCAGCAAUGCUGCGUGCAGGAUGAAGGCCUUCGGGUUGUAAACUGCUUUUGUACGGAACGAAACGGCGAGCUCUAAUACAGUUUGCUAAUGACGGUACCGUAAGAAUAAGCACCGGCUAACUACGUGCCAGCCGCCGCAGUAA